GACAAACGCUGGCGGCAUGCCUAACACAUGCAAGUCGAACGGACAGAACAGGGAAGCUUUUCGGAGUGGCACUGGAAAGUUAGUGGCGGAUGGGUGAGUAACGCGUGGACAACCUACCUUGUAAAGGGGAAUAACCUCGAGAAAUCGAAGCUAAUACCCCAUAAUAACCUUGCUUCGCAUGAAGUAAGGAGGAAAGGCGGCCUUAGCGCUGUCGAUACAAGAUGGGUCCGCGUCUGAUUAGCUAGUUGGUGAGGUAAAGGCUCACCAAGGCGACGAUCAGUAGCCGGCCUGAGAGGGUGAACGGCCACAUUGGGACUGAGACACGGCCCAAACUCCUACGGGAGGCAGCAGUGGGGAAUCUUCCGCAAUGGGCGAAAGCCUGACGGAGCAAUGCCGCGUGAGUGAAGAAGGCCUUCGGGUUGUAAAACUCUGUCCUUAUCGAAGAGAGAGUGUUGUAGUAACUGACAAUACUAGGACGGUAGAUGAGGAGGAAGCCCCGGCUAACUAUGUG
rnacentral:rRNA from 1 species